CCCCUUCUCCCGCUUGGAGGGCUGUCAUCGUGACUCUCCGAGAGUCAGGGCUUUCCCCCGAUGUAGGGGCAGGACCAUGCAUCAGUCACUGCCCACAAAAGUGCCCCAAUCACACCUGAUUUCCCCCAGCUGGACCUUUCACGAGUUGUUGCUAAUUAAGGGCUCACCUGAAUUAAUUAAGAGCCCACUUUGGUACCUCCCACCCCACACAGCUCUGUUGGCUCUGCAGGGCAGUGUGGCCCUUGCUCCCCCUCACAAGGGGAUGUGAUGGGAGUGGGCUAGGCUGGCUUCUGUGGGGUUAAGGGGUGCAGAAGCUUAGGGAUGAAUUUAGGGGGGUGCAAGGGCUAAGGACGUGUCCCCACAUUUGUUUGCUUGAAAGGACCUGGUCACCGAGACACCCAGCUGCCUGCCCGGGGAGCAGAGGCACCUGGGGACGCUCAUGUCACCACAGAGCAGCAGCCCUCGGCCAGCAGCACCCACACUUGUUGGAAGCUCAGUGUCCUCCACGGGAGAAGCGUUGCCAGCCCUUUCCUCCUCUGAUUCUCACACGGGGAACCCUGCACUGGGAAAUGGCAUCAUCUGCACAGACACACCAUGGCCAGCCAAGCAACAUCAGUGCCGUGUACCCAGGGGAGAAGAAGUCCUUGAUUCAGCAGACAUGACCAGGCCUGGCCAGAAAAUGGAUGUUGUUUCUGAACGGCAGAGAGGGGACAAGGACAAACAGCUGAGCUGUUGGGUAGCAGUAUUGGGUCAGGCACCGCUCAAAGUGCAGCCCACACUGGCAGAGCGUGCAGUCUGCUUGGGUUUUCUACAAAAAUGCCUUUUGACAGAGGUGUCCCUGCUCUGAGGGGCCCAAGUGGGGCUCACCGAGGGUAUUUGCCAUGCUUUAGACCCCAGGGCAGUGUCACCCCAUCCCAGCCGAGCAAGCAGAAGCUGGGGAGCUUCCCUGUUGCCAAGCCGGAUCGCUAGUGAGGAAAACAUGUCCAACCUGCUGGGUAUUCCCUCGCGCCUCCUUUCCAAGCAUUAAAAGUGCUAAUUAAACCAGAGCUGUGCUCCGGCAUCUGGAGGGAUAGGCCGCCUUUCCCAGCAGACAGACUGUAGGC
rnacentral:lncRNA from 1 species